CAAACAAAUCACAUAAAAUGAUUGUCUUUUAUGUGAUUUGUUUGUCCCCUUUCUGUUACUAGAUGUGUUGAAUCCUUUCGAUGAUUGUCUUUUAUGUGAUUUGUUUGUCCCCUUUCUGUUACUAGGUGUGUUGAAUCCUUUUGAUGAUUGUUUUUUAUGUGAUUUCUUUGUCCCCUUUCUGUCACUGUUACUAUGUGUGUUGAAUCCUUUCGAUGAUUGUCUUUUAUGUGAUUUGUUUGUCCCCUUUCUGUUACUAGGUGUGUUGAAUCCUUUCCAUUAUUGUCUUUUAUGUGAUUUGUUUGUCCCCUUUCUGUCACUAUUACUAGGUGUGUUGAAUCCUUUCGAUGAUUGUCUUUUAUGUGAUUUCUUUGUCCCCUUUCUGUCACUGUUACUAGGUGUGUUGAAUCCUUUCGAUGAUUGUUUUUUGUGAUUUGUUUGUCCCCUUUCUGUCACUGUUACUAGGUGUGUUGAAUCCUUUCGAUGAUUGUAUUUUAUGUGAUUUGUUUGUCCCCUUUCUGUUACUAGGUGUGUUGAAUCCUUUCCAUGAUUGUAUUUUAUGUGAUUUGUUUGUCCCCUUUCUGUUACUAGGUGUGUUGAAUCCUUUCGAUGAUUGUUUUUUAUGUGAUUUGUUUGUCCCCUUUCUGUUACUAGGUGUGUUCAAUCCUUUUGAUGAUUGUCUUUUAUGUGAUCCUAUUGAUCUUCCUUCUUGUAUAAAACAUUACCAAACCGUAACAAAAGCCAGUUAUCUUACAUAUGAACAAAAACGUUUGAUUCAUUCAUAGAGUUUGGGCCGAGCGUGGCCUAAUGAUGAUUAUGCCGGGCUAUGGAUCCUAGUGUCCAUUGAUAGUGUCCUGUUGAGUCGAGAAGAAACAAAUAGCUGCUUCAUGGUCUUGGGUGUGUUAUAAUAGUGACAGUCAAAUCCCACCAUCCAGUGAGCGCUGUAGAGUAGCUGUUUUAAUUCAGAAUUAGGAAUGGCUAAUGUAGAGAGCAUGUGUAACAAAUCAGUGACAGAGAGCUAGUCAGAACAAAUAUAGCUUUUUUUUGUUACUUCACGUUUUAAUUUUGCUUUAGUCCUAUGAAAUUAGUAUUAGUUCAAGAUGGUGGAGCUGUUCUCCCAAAAUGUCCAAGAUACCUAGAAAGAUGAAAUAUUAGGUGUAUUUACAGAUUGGGAAUGUAUUAGUGUUGAGUUGGAUUUUAAAGUCUGAGUUACUUAUUUUUAAUUUUUUACUUAAUUUGCGAUUAGGGUUUAUUGUGACAUUGUUUUCAGGUUUAAGUGUGUUUUGGAUCAGAGUUUAGAUGUAAAAUGGUGGUUUGUUUUUACAGGUUAGAGUUUAUAAUGUUAUAAUGUGUUAAUAUUAUGUGUAUGUGACAAUACCAAACACAAUAUUCCUGAUGUACGGGACAGAAAUAUAACAGAAUUUACCUCUUCUAUGAUGGUUCCACUAGAAUUGUUUUGAUAGUAUUACUUUAAAAAAAGUAUUUAUCUUAAUUGUUUUUUAUUGUGUGUUUGCAGCAGCUAUAACGUAAUAAUGUCGUUCAAGAAUUGAAGAAACACUUUAUUUGCAAAAUUGAAGAAUACUUCUCUAAUAAUUUUUUUUUUCAUUUCAUGCCCUCUUGAUCUCACAAACUACAGGAACUCAAAAGGUUUCUUUGUGUUUUUUUACUAAUUACUUGUUUAGUUCAUAGGUGGCGCUGGCGUUUGAUUUUAAAUUCUUUUUUUUUUAAAGUUUAUAUGUACAGUAACUAUUUCUUAUAAUACCUUAGAGAUAUUUAUAAUAACGUUACAAAACAUGUUUAAAUGGUUAUGUUUUUCUUGAAAACAAACAAGAAGCUCCGAUUACCUCCCUUUGGUACUCAGGAUUUGUGAGAGGUGUUUUCUUUCUAGUCAAUAAUCGAGAUAGUUUGUACGUAUCUUCUGUAUUUUUAUAGUCAAACUAACUGUAUCCACGUUAUGUUUAGGGUUAUAUUAAUACGUAUUUUUAUAGUCCAACUAACUGUAUCCACGUUAUGUUUAGGGUUAUAUUAAUACGUAUUUUUAUAGUCCAACUAACUGUAUCCACGUUAUGUUUAGGGUUAUAUUAAUACGUAUUUUUAUAGUCAAACUAACUGUAUCCACGUUAUGUUUAGGGUUAUAUUAAUACGUAUUUUUAUAGUCCAACUAACUGUAUCCACGUUAUGUUUAGGGUUAUAUUAAUACGUAUUUUUAUAGUCCAACUAACUGUAUCCACGUUAUGUUUAGGGUUAUAUUAAUACGUAUUUUUUAUUAAGAAGGACAAACAAAAUUCUAAUAAAUAAACAUGAUGUAUUUUAUGUAUUUAACACAAAACUUCUGUUAAAACUAGCUUUUAUUUCUUUGUACUAGAUGUCGCUUUACAGUUGCUUAAUGUGUUUAAACAUAACGUUACUGAUAUAAUGUUAAUCAAUCAUGAAGUUUAAAUUUAUCGAAAACAUUAUUUUCAAAAGUGCCAAGGAUGUUCAUAAAGAAGCUAAAGAUUGAUCAGUAAUGGACAAAAGAAAGUUAAAAGUUUAGGGAUGCAGCUUUCCAAUACGUAUUGCUUGAGUUCGAGAUGAAAUACACUAAUAAUAUAUCUUAUUUAGCAGCUCUACUACAGAUUUUCUACGUAUUAUUUAGGUUUUCGUUUAUUUGUAUGUAUGAUAUUAAUGAUGUUUUAUUAUUCCAAAUUUUUGCCAUAUACCUGUGAAUUUCAUGUUUGUGAAUUGUAAAAUAAAAUCUAGUAAAUUAAUCGUU